rnacentral:rRNA from 1 species
UCACCAAGGCAACGAUGGAUAGGGGAACUGAGAGGUUUAUCCCCCCACACUGGUACUGAGACACGGACCAGACUCCUACGGGAGGCAGCAGUGAGGAAUAUUGGUCAAUGGAGGCAACUCUGAACCAGCCACGUCGCGUGAAGGAAGACGGCCCUACGGGUUGUAAACUUCUUUUGUAAGGGAAUAAAGUGUAGUACGUGUACUAUUUUGCAUGUACCUUACGAAUAAGGAUCGGCUAACUCCGUGCCAGCAGCCGCGGUAAUACGGAGGAUCCGAGCGUUAUCCGGAUUCAUUGGGUUUAAAGGGUGCGCAGGCGGGGGAAUAAGUCAGUGGUGAAAAGCUGCCGCUCAACGGUAGUCUUGCCAAUGAUACUGUUUUUCUUGAGUAUGGUUAAGGUAGGUGGAAUGUGCAGUGUAGCGGUGAAAUGCAUAGAGAUUGCACAGAAGGCCGAUUGCGAAGGCAGCUUACUGAACCAUAACUGACGCUCAUGCACGAAAGCGUGGGGAUCAAACAGGAUUAGAUACCCUGGUAGUCCACGCUGUAAAACUAUGUUCACUCGCUGUUUGCGAUAUACUGUAAGCGGCUAAGCGAAAGCAUUAAGUGAACCACCUGGGGAGUACGAUCGCAAGGUUGAAACUCAAAGGAAUUGACGGGGGUCCGCACAAGCGGAGGAACAUGUGGUUUAAUUCGAUGAUACGCGAGGAACCUUACCUGGGCUUAAAUGUAGAUUGAUUGAAUCGGAAACGGUUUUUUCCUUCGGGACAAUUUACAAGGUGCUGCAUGGUUGUCGUCAGCUCGUGCCGUGAGGUGUCGGGUUAAGUCCCAUAACGAGCGCAACCCUUGCCGUUAGUUGCCAUCAGGUAAAGCUGGGGACUCUGACGGGACUGCCACCGUAAGGUGCGAGGAAGGUGGGGAUGACGUCAAAUCAGCACGGCCCUUAUGUCCAGGGCUACACACGUGUUACAAUGGCCGGUACAAAGGGCAGCUACCCCGCGAGGGGAUGCGAAUCUUCAAAGCCGGUCUCAGUUCGGAUUGGAGUCUGCAAUUCGACUCCAUGAAGCAGGAUUCGCUAGUAAUCGCGCAUCAGCCACGGCGCGGUGAAUACGUUCCCGGGCCUUGUACACACCGCCCGUCAAG